ACCAGAGGAAGCUAAACCAGUUAAACUACGCCAUUUUGCCUCUUAGUGGGCAUGCUUGAGUCCACUCACCCAACUCCUGAUAUCUUAUUCGCUGCUAUGAUUCAAGCCAGAGAAAGCUGCCGCCUCAGCCCCCACCUCCAUCGCCGCGGGGGUGAGGCCCCAGAUACCUGCCUGGCUUCUUCAGCUCUCCCCUUGGCUCCUAGCUUUGUGCUGAAUGGUCCUGCCUUCCCACAAUGCCCUUAUCUCACCAAAUCUUCACCCUGAAGCCAUGAAUUAGAGCUUCUAGCUGACUAAAUG
rnacentral:lncRNA from 10 species